AGUGAACGCUGGCGGUAGGCCUAACACAUGCAAGUCGAACGGCAGCACAGUAAGAGCUUGCUCUUACGGGUGGCGAGUGGCGGACGGGUGAGGAAUACAUCGGAAUCUACUUUUUCGUGGGGGAUAACGUAGGGAAACUUACGCUAAUACCGCAUACGACCUACGGGUGAAAGCAGGGGAUCUUCGGACCUUGCGCGAUUGAAUGAGCCGAUGUCGGAUUAGCUAGUUGGCGGGGUAAAGGCCCACCAAGGCGACGAUCCGUAGCUGGUCUGAGAGGAUGAUCAGCCACACUGGAACUUAGACACGGUCCAGACUCCUACGGGAGGGAGCAGUGGGGAAUAUUGGACAAUGGGCGCAAGCCUGAUCCAGCCAUACCGCGUGGGUGAAGAAGGCCUUCGGGUUGUAAAGCCCUUUUGUUGGGAAAGAAAAGCAGCAGGUUAAUACCCCGCUGUUCUGACGGUACCCAAAGAAUAAGCACCGGCUAACUUCGUG
rnacentral:rRNA from 1 species